CAGCAAUGUAUAACCAAACGACAACCGUCUCUCUAAAAGCAGGAAGCUUUAUUGCAGUUGGGGAGAGGCUGCCUGGGAGUCAGGAGACGUGAGGGAAUUCCAGGCCUGGUCCUGCCGCCGCUCCGCUGGUAUCCCCUCCACUGUCACGGGCAGGAAGAUGCCCCGCGGUUUCCACUGACUCUCUGCCAGAGAUUCAAGGGCAGGGAAUACAGACCCCACCUCUCAAAGGGAGGAGUGUCAACAUCGCUUUAACAGCACUUCAACCUUCCCUCAGGCCAGAAAAAUGC